ensembl:lncRNA
UUUUUUUGUAAUAAGGUAUUACUUGUUCCACUGGUCAAGGGGUUAUGUAAGAGUUCGUUUUCUUGUGCUAUUUCCAGAAUUUGGCUAGGUCUGAAAUGCACCCUACCACCCUAUCUGAGCCAGCUCCCUACCUCAGUGAUACCAGUGAAUCUGUCCCUGUGAAUGCAUCUUCUCCAGGAAGGAGAAACAAGGGAAGAAAAAGAACUUCAAUACACCUGUUCUGUCCAAAAUAAGGAAUUACAGAACAAUGUGAGAGGAAGAAACAAACAACAAACAAACAAAAAAACACUCUCCCAUGCCAUAAACACUACCCACACUUGAAUCAAAUCUCAUUUUGCUUGAACUAGUUCUCCUGUUCCUACUGAAAGGGUUUCAAAUUCUCAAGCACCCUUUUUAAAAACUUCAAAUUGUACCUGGAAACAAACUGCUGUAUGAACUGAAUUGCUUAUUUUAGAUAGAGAUAAUCAAAAGUCAAGAAAAGGUACACGUCACAUCAAAUAUAUUUGAGUUGAAGUUCAGAAGUCCAGACACGUCAAAAUUAUCAAUAUUUAUUAUCAUUAGUGAGAAAGAAGCUUUUAUAGAAUUCUAAGCCCAACAGACUUACAAGGAAGGGCACGGCAAAGAAAGGGACUGUGCUGUGCACACAGCCAUGCUAUUUACAACAUUCUGUUUCACAUGUCACAGUUCAAAUCUAGUUGUCUAAAGCUGAUGCAAUUCAAUAGACUGAAACUAUUCUAGCAGUUGUGGCUAUUCUGUUUCAUUAUUCUUCUUCAGUAAAGCAGGUAUGUAAGGGUUCAAAACUUCUGAACUGUGUCUUCUGUACUCUGACCUCAAUUUCCUAGCAACUUUCACAGUAAAAGUAGGACAAAAAGAAGCAUUGCAUUUACUCAGAGAAAGUUAUAGCACGAUUUCCCUCCUACCUCUUCUACAACAAAACAAAAUGAAACAAAACAAAAACACCCCACAGAUUUACUAUAUAAUGAUGCUCAGCUUGAAGUAGCCAAGCUCUUCAGCUGUAAUUCAGAGGGUUCACCUCAACUCCUCCUGCUUUUAGUGGUCUCAGUAAUUAGAAAAGAGCAACUGAAGAGAUUCUGGAGAGCACUACAAAAUACUAGUCCUCAAGGGUGCAAUUACAGUGAAGGGAACUGUAGGAAACGUAGGUAUGCAAACACCACACAGAAGACUUUAAAGAUUCACAAAAGAUCACUCGUAUUUGCAAAACUGUGCCUUGACUUUUUGUUUCACGUGAUACUCUUCAGCUUGUUUUCACCAAAUAAAUGAAAAAAAGAAAACACCUUUGCUCAGAGCCUGACCCAUCUCUUUCCUUCCCUUCCUUUUUCCUGCCUACUGCAGCUAUCAUGCUUUUUAGAGACUUCUGUCACACAGAUUUAGCACCCGUAGUGACCAGAGCAAGCAUGGUACACAGUCUGUAUCAUAAAUAAUUUGGAAGAGUAGAGGUUAGUUUUCCUUGGGAUGAGUUCACUAAUUUCAUCAUAAAUAUGCAUCAUCACCCACAUCUCUGAAACAACAGCAUUAUCCCUAAUUCACCUCUCACUGUCCAGCCUUCUUAUUUUAUCAUGUUGUAUGGAAGUUAAUUACAGGAACUGUGAAAUGGUUAUUUUCUGUAAUUUUGGAGGAAUUUGUGGCUUAUGUUUUCAAGAAACACAAGUUCUGCAGAACUACUCGUUACAACUAAUACAUAACUCAAUAUGCAAAGAAGAGAGUACCAGAGUUGCUUGAUGUUGGUACUAUGGUACAUUCACUGAUCAGGCUCAGAAAGAUAUCAACAGAAAGGUGGGAGGUACAAGUUUAGACAAGGGUUAACUCAGAACUUCCAAAUGGUGGUUUUAUUUGGGACUCGAUGCAUACUUUGAGCAUGCUUUACUGUCACAAAAUUCAUGUCUACUUAUACAUUCAGGACACACCAAAUAAAAGACUCUUAACUAUCUGGGGAGCAAGAUAAAAAUAUAUGUAUGUAUGUGGAUAGGUAUUUAUAUCAAAUCCAACAACUCCAAGUAGUAUAAUCUGCCACUAGCAUUCAAUUAAUGAUGAGUAUGGUUUUCUGUCUACUGUAUCUUCAAGAGAUAUCACAAUCCAGUCCCUGAUGCACGUGUGCUGUAGUUACAGACAAAUCCAAUUUGCUUUUAAUUUGAAGUAUUGUAAACAGUGUUUGAACAGCUUAAUUAACGUAUCCAGCUUCUAAGUGGUACUUGUGAACAUCAGUAUAUAAAUAUGAAGACCUAGUUAAUGAGUACAAACACAAUCAGUGGAUUUGAAUCAUCUUUGAUGAUUAACAUCUUUUAGCCUGCAUAGUUUGUUGUUAUUUGGAGCCACGAAGCAAAAAUUUAGUAGUUGAGUAUUUUGUUGGUUCAGUACUGGCUGCUUACAGGGAACAUACAAGUCCUCCCUCUCUUAAGCACAAAAUUUCAAGGCAAGAGUCAGGAUCCUCAUUCACUAUUCCAACACCAUCAGCACAGCUAGUGCUCUUUAGAAUGCUCAUCCUAUUGCACUACCUUGAAAGAAGGGCAAGAAGUUUACUUCUUGCUGUGUUUGUGGCUCUGUUGUGCUCUCUGUCUAUUCCAAGUGAUUAAAAAGUACACCAUGACAACCACAGUUAAUCAUCUGCAGCACCUAUAUUCAGUCCAGUCUCUGGAGAGGAGCUUCCAUGACUAGCUACCAUUGUCUAAGCAGGAAGAACGUUUCGAUCCUCUUCACCCACUUUAGAUGAAAUGAAAACAGGAGGCCUACAUAGUGGCUUCAAUAAAAUGAUCUGCAGCUCCAAAUUGAAAUCUGCAUUUUCUCCAAAACAAACCAACCAACCUAACAACCUUAUCCCCCUUCCCACUCCUUGCACCACUGAAAAAAAAAAAAAA